rnacentral:rRNA from 1 species
GGUAAAUUGACGGGGACCCGCACAAGCGGUGGAUGAUGUGGAUUAAUUCGAUGCAACGCGAAGAACCUUACUACCCUUGACAUGUCCGGAACUUGCCAGAGAUGGCUUGGUGCCCGAAAGGGAAUCGGAACACAGGGUGCUGCAUGGCUGUCGUCAGCUCGUGUCGUGAGAUGUUGGGUUAAGUCCCGCAACGAGCGCAACCCUUAUCAUUAGUUGCUACGCAAGGGCACUCUAAUGAGACUGCCGGUGACAAACCGGAGGAAGGUGGGGAUGACGUCAAGUCCUCAUGGCCCUUAUGGGUAGGGCUUCACACGUCAUACAAUGGUCGGUACAGAGGGUUGCCAAGCCGCGAGGCGGAGCCAAUCCCACAAAGCCGAUCGUAGUCCGGAUUGUUCUCUGCAACUCGAGAGCAUGAAGUCGGAAUCGCUAGUAAUCGCAGGUCAGCAUACUGCGGUGAAUACGUUCCCGGGUCUU